CAGUAAAAGUGCGUUUAUUUUUGAGUAGUGAAUACUCUCUGUCUUUACUAACCCUACAAAUUCUCUUCCGGCAAGUUUCAGGUUCCUCCGAAUCGCUCCGACGCCUUUGAUGUUCACAUCUUCCGGUAGUCCUGUCGCAGAUGACUUUCGCCCUUUUAUGGAACCACACUUUCUCUAAUUUGAAUUCUAUGUGGUAGGACGAGAGUCAUCUGUGACAGGAUAAUGGAAGAUCGAGUUAUCAAAGGCUUAUUGGGCGUUUCCUUGAGUUCGUAUCAUAUUCUACAAGAUUAAUGCAAAACCGAAGAAGUAGAGCAGGACGAGAGUCAUCUGUGACAGGAUAAUGGAAGAUCGAGUUAUCAAAGGCUUAUUCGGGCGUUUUUUCUCAUGUCCAGUUCGUAGCAAAAUCUCCAACUUUUGCAGAGUAGCACAGGAUGCCAGAUUCACUAACUGCUUCACUGUGAUCUAUGUUUACCAUGGAUAACGUAAUUAUCAGAUGUAUUAGAAUCUUUAUCUCCAAAAAGAAGAGGAAGUUAUAAAAUCAAAAUAUCUUGCCUUCCAUCCGGAUCCAGCUUGCGCUCCUCACGGGUAACUCUAUCCACUAAUCUUAUAGCUCAUGGUCUCAACCUACUUCAAUCCUUAAGCCAUACCCUUGGGUACCCUUCCAUACCCUUUUUCACGAGCCAAUGCAUCCUAUCCAGCUGCUGCUAGCAACGCAUGUCAUUUUGGCCGAAUGUGAAGUUAAUUAUCCAUCAUUUGGUAUUCUAAAUUUAGGGAGAGCUUGACAGUUCUCUUCUGUAUUAUUUUCAUUGCACCAAGGGUACGCUAGCUUCUCUCUUUAAGUCCAGGUUUUUCUAACUUUGUGGUGUGAUUUAUCAUAUUCUACUUGUUUUUGAUGGCCAGUAAA